AUACGGAGGAUCCGAGCGUUAUCCGGAUUUAUUGGGUUUAAAGGGAGCGUAGGCGGGAUAUCAAGUCAGCUGUGAAAUGUAGAUGCUCAACAUCUGCACUGCAGUUGAAACUGGUGUUCUUGAGUGCGUAAGAGGUAGGCGGAAUUCGUCGUGUAGCGGUGAAAUGCAUAGAUAUGACGAAGAACUCCGAUUGCGAAGGCAGCUUACUGGGAUACAACUGACGCUGAGGCACGAAAGC
rnacentral:rRNA from 1 species